UACGGAGGGGGCAAGCGUUGUUCGGAAUUACUGGGCGUAAAGGGCGCGUAGGCGGCCUGUUAAGUCGGACGUGAAAUCCCUGGGCUCAACCCAGGAACUGCGUCCGAUACUGGCAGGCUUGAAUUCGGGAGAGGGAUGUGGAAUUCCAGGUGUAGCGGUGAAAUGCGUAGAUAUCUGGAGGAACACCGGUGGCGAAGGCGGCAUCCUGGACCGAUAUUGACGCUGAGGCGCGAAAGCCAGGGGAGCAAACGGG
rnacentral:rRNA from 1 species